rnacentral:tRNA from 1 species
GGGCCGGUGGUCUAGUGGUUAUGACGUCGCCUUUACAAGGCGAAGAUCGGCUGUUCAAUUCCGCCUCGGCCCA